rnacentral:rRNA from 1 species
CUACGGGAGGCUGCAGUGAGGAAUAUUGCGCAAUGGGCGAAAGCCUGACGCAGCAACGCCGCGUGGAUGAUGAAGCUCUAAGGAGUGUAAAGUCCUGUUAGGAGGGAAGAACAGUCUUAAUUCAAAUAGGUUUAAGAUUUGACGGUACCUCCAGAGAAAGCCCCGGCUAACUCCGUGCCAGCAGCCGCGGUAAUACGGGGGGGGCAGCUUUGUCCGGAAUCAUUGGGCGAAAGAGCGCGUAGGCGGAAUAGCAAGUCAGAGGUGAAAACUAUAGGCUUAACCUGUAGCCUGCCUUUGAAACUGUUUUUCUUGAGUACGGUAGAGGGAAGUGGAAUUCCUGGUGUAGCGGUGAAAUGCGUAGAUAUCAGGAAGAACAUCGGUAGCGAAGGCGGCUUCCUGGCCCGUAACUGACGCUGAGGCGCGAAAGCGUGGGGAGCAAACAGGAUUAGAUACCCUGGUAGUC